rnacentral:rRNA from 1 species
AAAUUGAAGAGUUUGAUCAUGGCUCAGAUUGAACGCUGGCGGCAGGCCUAACACAUGCAAGUCGAACGGUAACAGGAAGCAGCUUGCUGUUUCGCUGACGAGUGGCGGACGGGUGAGUAAUGUCUGGGAAACUGCCUGAUGGAGGGGGAUAACUACUGGAAACGGUAGCUAAUACCGCAUAACGUCGCAAGACCAAAGA